rnacentral:misc_RNA from 1 species
GAUCCGUCGUGACUCAACCUGGAUUUUCAAGAGAAAUCCAGGUUGAGUCACGAUUUUUUACGCGUG